rnacentral:rRNA from 1 species
AGCGUACACGGUGGAUGCCCUGGCAGUCAGAGGCGAUGAAGGACGUGCUAAUCUGCGAUAAGCGUCGGUAAGGUGAUAUGAACCGUUAUAACCGGCGAUUUCCGAAUGGGGAAACCCAGUGUGAUUCGUCACACUAUCAUUAACUGAAUCCAUAGGUUAAUGAGGCGAACCGGGGGAACUGAAACAUCUAAGUACCCCGAGGAAAAGAAAUCAACCGAGAUUCCCCCAGUAGCGGCGAGCGAACGGGGAGGAGCCCAGAGCCUGAAUCAGUGUGUGUGUUAGUGGAAGCGUCUGGAAAGGCGCGCGAUACAGGGUGACAGCCCCGUACACAAAAAUGCACAUGCUGUGAGCUCGAUGAGUAGGGCGGGACACGUGGUAUCCUGUCUGAAUAUGGGGGGACCAUCCUCCAAGGCUAAAUACUCCUGACUGACCGAUAGUGAACCAGUACCGUGAGGGAAAGGCGAAAAGAACCCCGGCGAGGGGAGUGAAAAAGAACCUGAAACCGUGUACGUACAAGCAGUGGGAGCCUCUUUAUGGGGUGACUGCGUACCUUUUGUAUAAUGGGUCAGCGACUUAUAUUCUGUAGCAAGGUUAACCGAAUAGGGGAGCCGAAGGGAAACCGAGUCUUAACUGGGCGUUAAGUUGCAGGGUAUAGACCCGAAACCCGGUGAUCUAGCCAUGGGCAGGUUGAAGGUUGGGUAACACUAACUGGAGGACCGAACCGACUAAUGUUGAAAAAUUAGCGGAUGACUUGUGGCUGGGGGUGAAAGGCCAAUCAAACCGGGAGAUAGCUGGUUCUCCCCGAAAGCUAUUUAGGUAGCGCCUCGUGAAUUCAUCUCCGGGGGUAGAGCACUGUUUCGGCAAGGGGGUCAUCCCGACUUACCAACCCGAUGCAAACUGCGAAUACCGGAGAAUGUUAUCACGGGAGACACACGGCGGGUGCUAACGUCCGUCGUGAAGAGGGAAACAACCCAGACCGCCAGCUAAGGUCCCAAAGUCAUGGUUAAGUGGGAAACGAUGUGGGAAGGCCCAGACAGCCAGGAUGUUGGCUUAGAAGCAGCCAUCAUUUAAAGAAAGCGUAAUAGCUCACUGGUCGAGUCGGCCUGCGCGGAAGAUGUAACGGGGCUAAACCAUGCACCGAAGCUGCGGCAGCGACGCUUAUGCGUUGUUGGGUAGGGGAGCGUUCUGUAAGCCUGCGAAGGUGUGCUGUGAGGCAUGCUGGAGGUAUCAGAAGUGCGAAUGCUGACAUAAGUAACGAUAAAGCGGGUGAAAAGCCCGCUCGCCGGAAGACCAAGGGUUCCUGUCCAACGUUAAUCGGGGCAGGGUGAGUCGACCCCUAAGGCGAGGCCGAAAGGCGUAGUCGAUGGGAAACAGGUUAAUAUUCCUGUACUUGGUGUUACUGCGAAGGGGGGACGGAGAAGGCUAUGUUGGCCGGGCGACGGUUGUCCCGGUUUAAGCGUGUAGGCUGGUUUUCCAGGCAAAUCCGGAAAAUCAAGGCUGAGGCGUGAUGACGAGGCACUACGGUGCUGAAGCAACAAAUGCCCUGCUUCCAGGAAAAGCCUCUAAGCAUCAGGUAACAUCAAAUCGUACCCCAAACCGACACAGGUGGUCAGGUAGAGAAUACCAAGGCGCUUGAGAGAACUCGGGUGAAGGAACUAGGCAAAAUGGUGCCGUAACUUCGGGAGAAGGCACGCUGAUAUGUAGGUGAAGCGACUUGCUCGUGGAGCUGAAAUCAGUCGAAGAUACCAGCUGGCUGCAACUGUUUAUUAAAAACACAGCACUGUGCAAACACGAAAGUGGACGUAUACGGUGUGACGCCUGCCCGGUGCCGGAAGGUUAAUUGAUGGGGUUAGCGGUAACGCGAAGCUCUUGAUCGAAGCCCCGGUAAACGGCGGCCGUAACUAUAACGGUCCUAAGGUAGCGAAAUUCCUUGUCGGGUAAGUUCCGACCUGCACGAAUGGCGUAAUGAUGGCCAGGCUGUCUCCACCCGAGACUCAGUGAAAUUGAACUCGCUGUGAAGAUGCAGUGUACCCGCGGCAAGACGGAAAGACCCCGUGAACCUUUACUAUAGCUUGACACUGAACAUUGAGCCUUGAUGUGUAGGAUAGGUGGGAGGCUUUGAAGUGUGGACGCCAGUCUGCAUGGAGCCGACCUUGAAAUACCACCCUUUAAUGUUUGAUGUUCUAACGUUGGCCCCUAAUCGGGGUUGCGGACAGUGUCUGGUGGGUAGUUUGACUGGGGCGGUCUCCUCCUAAAGAGUAACGGAGGAGCACGAAGGUUGGCUAAUCCUGGUCGGACAUCAGGAGGUUAGUGCAAUGGCAUAAGCCAGCUUGACUGCGAGCGUGACGGCGCGAGCAGGUGCGAAAGCAGGUCAUAGUGAUCCGGUGGUUCUGAAUGGAAGGGCCAUCGCUCAACGGAUAAAAGGUACUCCGGGGAUAACAGGCUGAUACCGCCCAAGAGUUCAUAUCGACGGCGGUGUUUGGCACCUCGAUGUCGGCUCAUCACAUCCUGGGGCUGAAGUAGGUCCCAAGGGUAUGGCUGUUCGCCAUUUAAAGUGGUACGCGAGCUGGGUUUAGAACGUCGUGAGACAGUUCGGUCCCUAUCUGCCGUGGGCGCUGGAGAACUGAGGGGGGCUGCUCCUAGUACGAGAGGACCGGAGUGGACGCAUCACUGGUGUUCGGGUUGUCAUGCCAAUGGCACUGCCCGGUAGCUAAAUGCGGAAGAGAUAAGUGCUGAAAGCAUCUAAGCACGAAACUUGCCCCGAGAUGAGUUCUCCCUGACUCCUUGA